AAGGUUAAUGUUGUUUGGCGUUUAUUUAUUUCCUUUGUUAGAAUAAACGAAUUUAUUAUCGUUGAUAAAAAUUGGAGAAAAAAUACCUCACUUAAACGAGCUGUUACUAUAAGAAAAAGGCACAUGUAUAAACAAUAGAACUGUCAAUUAAAAAUAUAAACAAUUUUAAUCAUUUUAAUUAAAACAACUUAAAAGUUGUUUUAACAAAAAAAGGUCGAAAAGGUAAAAAUUGGGACGGGUAAGAAUGGUAUCCGGUUAGAUCGCACCGUGGUUAGAUCGCUCCCAGUUAGAUCGCUCCAACCAAAAGGUAGAUCGCUCCAUCAAAUGAGUGACUUCGCUCCCAACAUAAGUUACUUCGCUCCAUGUAGUAAUGUGAAGUAUUACUUACCAAUGAUCACUAAACAUCACAACAGACAGAGACCUGUUUUGGGACCAAACAGUUCAUCAAAUGUAUAUAUCCUACGAAUAAGUAACACUCUAGACUAUUACAUAAAAUAUAUUGGACGAAUACACUAAACCAAGCCACCCAGUUAUCGAUGCCUAGAGACAUAUAAAUAGACAUUAAUAUUCACUUAAAGUAUAUAGGUGAUAAUGUGUCUUGCGACGAUUCGAGUAUAUCGUAUUCACUCUGUCCUUCAGAUCAGCCACCGAGCUACCGAUGUAUGAUGUAUAGCGAUGAUGGAAUUAAUGAUCGUGGAAUAAAUUAUAACUUUAUAGUCUGAAGUGUAUUGAAAAAGAGCGAUCUAACCAUGGUGCGAUCUGACCGUAAUUCGUAAGAAUUGAUCAUCGAUUUGGGUACGAACAAACUCAAAAUUGAGUACGAAACUUGAGCGCGAAACGACUGAAUUGAGGAACUGUAUGACUGGGUUCGAAACGACCGGAUUCCUCCUCACCCAUCGGGGAUAAGAUCCAAGAAAGAUGCGAGUUUUCGAAAGCAAUAUAUAAAGUGAAAAACGUUAGAUGAGUAGAUAGGGAAGUUUGUUCUCUUCACUUUCUUAGGGCAUUCUUGACGCAAAUAUUUUUUCUGGUUUUUGUUUUUAUUUCCUCCUUUUUUUGUCCUUUGUAUUUUCUUUUCUUUUUUUUUAUUUUUUUAUUUUUUUUUUGAGAGAACCUAAACAGCAGCCGUCUUAAAGCCGUACGUUUCAAUUCCCACCAUUCCGUGGAAGUGCUGUUUGGUUAUUGAGCGUUUUAAAAAUGGCGGCGCCCAAACUUGAACCACAUUUGACGACAAUUUUUGAACAACUCAGUUACACUCUGGAAUCUCAAAAAGCGAUGUAUGGUACGCGAGUAAAAUCCCCAUUUCCUCUGGAUUUUUCAAGUUUUCAUGGCUAGCUGGUCGAGGAGGAUAAAGGGGUGUCCUACACAAGCCAGAAUCGUCAUCCUCGACUUGGAAGAAUUAGACUUAGCGAGUAUGUUACUUAUCGAAAGAAAUCUUGGGGAACUGGCACUAUGCCCGACAUUACAGGGCUUUGCUUGUAUUGUUCAUUAUGAUAAUGCGCUGGAGAAAAUGCCUGAAUAUUUGAAAACGGCGUCGAAGGUGGUCGAGCGAACGAGGAUAUUUUGGAUUAUGAAGAAGCACUGGAUUUUCGUCACUCGCUCCAGGGAGACACGAUGUUAUUUCCGAAGGACCGCUCGCGAGAGAAUCAAGGAAUACUUUGAAAGUGUUUCUGUGCUUCAUGGAUGCAUUCGCCGUUUUCUACUUUGCUUAUAAGUAUCUAUUAAUUUCGCGUGGGAAUCAAACUGAAAGCUUUCAUAAUUUUUACCUAGUUUUUGCUUGAUAUAAGUUCGUAUAUUUAUCUUAAAUCGUUCAAAAGUAAUCGGAAAUCAACUGAAUGCUCCGUCCAACACCUAGCUUAGAGUGCCACUUCUCAAUUUGCAAAUAUCUAAUAUCUUGCACGCCGUUUAAGCAGAGACGCAUGAGAUACAGAAAGUAAAUUUAUGAACCACGUGCAAGUUUGUUAGAUUCAUAAACUUUUAGUAUUUCUCAAAGUGAUCAGUAGAACCCUCACAAGGUCUAAAGAUUUGUUUCUUAGGGGAAGCUUUUUUAGAGGAAAUCAAUACCCGGACUCUUGAACAAGACAUCAUAUUUGCAUUUUACUUUAGUUUAGAUGCGAAUUAAAAGAUUUAAACUUUG
rnacentral:misc_RNA from 1 species